UACGAAGGGGGGCUAGCGUUGCUCGGAAUCACUGGGCGUAAAGGGUGCGUAGGCGGGUCUUUUAAGUCAGGGGUGAAAUCCUGGAGCUCAACUCCAGAACUGCCUUUGGUACUGAAGAUCUUGAGUUCGGGAGAGGUGAGUGGAACUGCGAGUGUAGAGGUGAAAUUCGUAGAUAUUCGCAAGAACACCAGUGGCGAAGGCGGCUCACUGGCCCGGUACUGACGCUGAGGUGCGAAAGCGUGGGGAGCAAACAGG
rnacentral:rRNA from 1 species